rnacentral:rRNA from 1 species
UACGUAGGGUGCGAGCGUUAAUCGGAAUUACUGGGCGUAAAGCGUGCGCAGGCGGUUUUGUAAGCCAGAUGUGAAAUCCCCGGGCUCAACCUGGGAAUUGCAUUCGAUACUGGAUAGCUAGAGUUCGGCAGAGGGAAGCGGAAUUUCCGGUGUAGCGGUGAAAUGCGUAGAUAUCGGAAGGAACAUCAGUGGCGAAAGCGGCUUCCUGGACCAGAACUGACGAUCAGGCACGAAAGCGUGGGGAGCAAACAGG